CUCCCCUUGGUGUAGUUGGUUCAUCACGUUCGACUGUAAUGGUUACAUUGUCAUCGAAAGGUCUCUAGUUCAAUUCUGGAAGGGGAGA
rnacentral:tRNA from 1 species